ACAUGCAGUCGAGCGAAUGGAUUAAGAGCUUGCUCUUAUGAAGUUAGCGGCGGACGGGUGAGUAACACGUGGGUAACCUGCCCAUAAGACUGGGAUAACUCCGGGAAACCGGGGCUAAUACCGGAUAACAUUUUGAACCGCAUGGUUCGAAAUUGAAAGGCGGCUUCGGCUGUCACUUAUGGAUGGACCCGCGUCGCAUUAGCUAGUUGGUGAGGUAACGGCUCACCAAGGCAACGAUGCGUAGCCGACCUGAGAGGGUGAUCGGCCACACUGGGACUGAGACACGGCCCAGACUCCUACGGGAGGCAGCAGUAGGGAAUCUUCCGCAAUGGACGAAAGUCUGACGGAGCAACGCCGCGUGAGUGAUGAAGGCUUUCGGGUCGUAAAACUCUGUUGUUAGGGAAGAACAAGUGCUUGUUGAAUAAGCUGGCACCUUGACGGU
rnacentral:rRNA from 1 species